AUGAGGACCCAGCUCACUCUAGCCCUUCUGCUCUUCCUCGUUGUUGCCUCCACCAGCCCCCUAGCAUUGGCCCAUGGCGAUCCUGACUAUGGCGGUGGAGUGAAGAAACCCGAAGCUGUCUCGGCCAGUGUUGAGAAGAAACCCGAAGCCAUCUCCACUGAUGUGGAGAAGAAACCAGAUGCCGUCUCUGGAACAGACGUCUCCUCCAGCGCGAGGACGAAACCCGAAGUCGUCGCUGGCUAUGACAGUGCUAAAAAGAAACCUGAUGUCGGCCCCAACAAUGUUGAUGCAGAGAAGAAACCAGUAAGUGCCUCUGGCUAUGCUGGCAAGGAGAAGAAACCUGAAGGUGGCACCAAGGCUGCUAAGGAGAAGAAAUCUGAAGUUGCCUCCGAGAAGAAAUCCAAAAGAAAGAGUGAGCCCUCCCAGUCUUCCACCAUCGAGAAGAAACCCAAAAGUAAAAAUGAGAAGAAGUCCAAAGGAAAGAAUGACGCCUCUGGAUACAGUGGUGCGGAGAAGAAACCAAAAGAGAAAGUAGAUACACCCAAGAAGGAGAAGCCAAAGGAGGAGGUCAUGGCUAUGAAACCUAAAGAAUACACCAAGCCAAAGGAGGAGGCGAAGAAGGAGGAGCCGAAGAAGGAAGAGCCGAAGAAGGAGGAGAUCGCGGCGACCGUCACAUCCGAUAGUUACACUGCACCGAAGAAUGCUCAGCCGGAGACACCGGCAGCUAGCACAGCUGACACUUAUGCUCCGCCAAAGACUGCUCAGCCGGAGAAGGCGGCGGCUAGCACAACCGGUGGUUACCCGUAG
rnacentral:rRNA from 1 species